UGGGGAAUUUUGGACAAUGGACGCAAGUCUGAUCCAGCCAUGCCGCGUGCGGGAAGAAGGCCUUCGGGUUGUAAACUGCUUUUGUACGGAGCGAAAAGGUCUGCCCUAAUACGGUGGGCUCAUGACGGUACCGUAAGAAUAAGCACCGGCUAACUACGUGCCAGCAGCCGCGGUAAUACGUAGGGUGCGAGCGUUAAUCGGAAUUACUGGGCGUAAAGCGUGCGCAGGCGGUUUUGUAAGACAGAGGUGAAAUCCCCGGGCUCAACCUGGGAAUUGCCUUUGUGACUGCAAGGCUUGAGUGCGGCAGAGGGGGAUGGAAUUCCGCGUGUAGCAGUGAAAUGCGUAGAUAUGCGGAGGAACACCGAUGGCGAAGGCAAUCCCCUGGACCUGUACUGACGCUCAUGCACGAAAGCGUGGGGAGCAAACA
rnacentral:rRNA from 1 species